rnacentral:rRNA from 1 species
UACGGAGGGGGCUAGCGUUGUUCGGAAUUACUGGGCGUAAAGCGCGCGUAGGCGGACUGUUAAGUCGGGGGUGAAAUCCCGGGGCUCAACCCCGGAACUGCCUUCGAUACUGGCGGUCUAGAGGUCUGGAGAGGUGAGUGGAAGUCCGAGUGUAGAGGUGAAAUUCGUAGAUAUUCGGAGGAACACCAGUGGCGAAGGCGGCUCACUGCACAGAUUCUGACGCUGAGGUGCGAAAGCGUGGGGAGCAAACAGG